rnacentral:rRNA from 1 species
AGAGUUUGAUCAUGGCUCAGGACGAACGCUUGCGGCGUGCCUAAGAAAUGCAAGUCGAACGGACACUUUCCUUUGGGAGGGUGUCAGUGGCGAACGGUCGCGUAACACGUAGGCAACCUGCCCAAAAGUGGGGGACAACAGCCCGAAAGGGUUGCUAAUACCGCAUGUGGCCAUCUUCUCGCAUGAGAAGGUGUCCAAAGGCUAUAGCAAUGUAGUCGCUUUUGGAUGGGCUUGCGGCCUAUCAGGUAGUUGGUGGGGUAAUGGCCUACCAAGCCGUUGACGGGUAGCUGGUCUGAGAGGAUGAUCAGCCACACUGGGACUGAGACACGGCCCAGACUCCUACGGGAGGCAGCAGUGGGGAAUUUUCCGCAAUGGGCGAAAGCCUGACGGAGCAAGACCGCGUGAGGGAGGAAGGCUCUUGGGUUGUAAACCUCUUUUGUCAGGGAAGAACACAAUGACGGUACCUGAAGAAUCAGCAUCGGCUAACUCCGUGCCAGCAGCCGCGGUAAUACGGAGGAUGCAAGCGUUAUCCGGAAUUAUUGGGCGUAAAGCGUCCGUAGAUGGUUUUGCCAGUCGGCUGUCAAAGCACAGGGCUUAACCCUGUAAAGGCAGUGGAAACUACAAGACUAGAGUGCAGUAGGGGCAGAGGGAAUUCCCAGUGUAGCGGUGAAAUGCGUAGAGAUUGGGAAGAACACCCGUGGCGAAAGCGCUCUGCUGGACUGCUACUGACAUUGAGGGACGAAAGCUAGGGGAGCGAAUGGGAUUAGAUACCCUCGUAGUCC